rnacentral:rRNA from 1 species
UUCCGGUUGAUCCCGCCGGAGAUUACCGCUAUUUGGGUUUGACUAAGCCAUGUUAGUUUUGGGUGCUUGCAUCCAGAGCGUACAGCUCAGUAACACGUAGUCAACCUGCCCUCGAGUCUAGAAUAAUCCCGGGAAACUGGGGCUAACGCUGGAUAGGUGAGAGAUACUGGAAUGUUCUUUCGCUUAAAGAUACGCUCGAGGAUGGGACUGCGCUCGAUUAGGUUGUUGCCGGGGUAACUUCCCGACAUGCCGAUAAUCGAUACGGGCCUUGAGAGAGGAAGCCCGGAGAUGGAUUCUGAGACAAGAAUCCAGGUCCUACGGGACGCAUCAGGCGCGAAAAUUCCACAAUGCGCGAAAGCGUUAUGGAGAAACCCGAAGUGGCAUCGCUAAGCGAUGUCUUUUACCAAGUGUAAAAAGCUUGGAGAAUAAGGGGUGGGUAAGACGGGUGCCAGCCGCCGCGGUAAUACCCGCGCCCCGAGUGGUAGUCACGUUUAUUGGGUUUAAAGCGUCCGUAGCCGGUUUGAUUAGUCUCUAAUGAAAUCCUGUAGUAAACUGCAGGACUUGUUAAAGAUACUGUCGAACUUGGGACCGGGAGAGGCAAGGAGUACUGUAGGGGUAAGGGUAAAAUCUUAUAAUCCUUACGGGACUACCAGUGGCGAAGGCGCCUUGCUGGAACGGAUCCGACGGUGAGGGGCGAAAGCUAGGGGAGCGAAGGGGAUUAGAUACCCCCGUAGUCCUAGCUGUAAACGAUACCCACCAGACGUUGGAGUUCUCACGAGGGACUUCAGUGUCACAGGGAAACCGCUAAGUGGGUCACCUGGGGAGUACGGCCGCAAGACUGAAACUUAACGGAAUUGGCGGGGGAGCACACAAGGGGUGGAGGCUGCGGUUUAAUUGGAUUCAACGCCGGA